rnacentral:rRNA from 1 species
GACGAACGUUGGCGGCGUGCUUAACACAUGCAAGUCGAACGGAAAGGCCCUGCUUUUGUGGGGUGCUCGAGUGGCGAACGGGUGAGUAACACGUGAGUAACCUGCCCUUGACUUUGGGAUAACUUCAGGAAACUGGGGCUAAUACCGGAUAGGAGCUCCUGCUGCAUGGUGGGGGUUGGAAAGUUUCGGCGGUUGGGGAUGGACUCGCGGCUUAUCAGCUUGUUGGUGGGGUAGUGGCUUACCAAGGCUUUGACGGGUAGCCGGCCUGAGAGGGUGACCGGCCACAUUGGGACUGAGAUACGGCCCAGACUCCUACGGGAGGCAGCAGUGGGGAAUAUUGCACAAUGGGCGGAAGCCUGAUGCAGCAACGUCGCGUGCGGGAUGACGGCCUUCGGGUUGUAAACCGCUUUCGCCUGUGACGAAGCGUGAGUGACGGUAAUGGGUAAAGAAGCACCGGCUAACUACGUGCCAGCAGCCGCGGUGAUACGUAGGGUGCGAGCGUUGUCCGGAUUUAUUGGGCGUAAAGGGCUCGUAGGUGGUUGAUCGCGUCGGAAGUGUAAUCUUGGGGCUUAACCCUGAGCGUGCUUUCGAUACGGGUUGACUUGAGGAAGGUAGGGGAGAAUGGAAUUCCUGGUGGAGCGGUGGAAUGCGCAGAUAUCAGGAGGAACACCAGUGGCCGAAAGCGGUUCUCUGGGCCUUUCCUGACGCUGAGGAGCGAAAGCGUGGGGAGCGAACAGGCUUAGAUACCCUGGUAGUCCACGCUGUAAACGGUGGGUACUAGGUGUGGGGUCCAUUCCACGGGUUCCGUGCCGUAGCUAACGCUUUAAGUACCCCGCCUGGGGAGUACGGCCGCAAGGCUAAAACUCAAAGGAAUUGACGGGGCCCCGCACAAGCGGCGGAGCAUGCGGAUUAAUUCGAUGCAACGCGUAGAACCUUACCUGGGUUUGACAUGGAUCGGGAGUGCUCAGAGAUGGGUGUGCCUCUUUUGGGGUCGGUUCACAGGUGGUGCAUGGCUGUCGUCAGCUCGUGUCGUGAGAUGUUGGGUUAAGUCCCGCAACGAGCGCAACCCUUGUUCACUGUUGCCAGCACGUUAUGGUGGGGACUCAGUGGAGACCGCCGGGGUCAACUCGGAGGAAGGUGGGGAUGACGUCAAGUCAUCAUGCCCCUUAUGUCCAGGGCUUCACGCAUGCUACAAUGGCUGGUACAGAGAGUGGCGAGCCUGUGAGGGUGAGCGAAUCUCGGAAAGCCGGUCUCAGUUCGGAUUGGGGUCUGCAACUCGACCUCAUGAAGUCGGAGUCGCUAGUAAUCGCAGAUCAGCAACGCUGCGGUGAAUACGUUCCCGGG